CGGAGGCAGCAGUGGGGAAUCUUGCGCAAUGGCCGAAAGGCUGACGCAGCGACGCCGCGUGGGGGAGGAAGGUCUUCGGAUCGUAAACCCCUGUUGCCCGGGACGAAUGACCCUUUCGAGGGGAGUGACGGUACCGGGUGAGGAAGCACCGGCUAACUCCGUGCCAGCAGCCGCGGUAAUACGGAGGGUGCGAGCGUUGUCCGGAAUCACUGGGCGUAAAGGGCGCGUAGGCGGCGGGGUAAGCGUGCGGUGAAAGCUCGGGGCUCAACUCCGAGUCGGCCGUGCGAACUGUCCCGCUGGAGCACAGUAGAGGCAGGCGGAAUUCCGGGUGUAGCGGUGGAAUGCGUAGAGAUCCGGAAGAACACCGGUGGCGAAGGCGGCCUGCUGGGCUGUGGCUGACGCUGAGGCGCGACAGCGUGGGGAGCAAACAGGAUUAGAUACCCUGGUAGG
rnacentral:rRNA from 1 species